rnacentral:rRNA from 1 species
GGGGGCNUUUAUCUGAACCUUCGGGGAACGAUAACGGCGUCGAGCGGCGGACGGGUGAGUAAUGCCUAGGAAAUUGCCCUGAUGUGGGGGAUAACCAUUGGAAACGAUGGCUAAUACCGCAUGAUGCCUACGGGCCAAAGAGGGGGACCUUCGGGCCUCUCGCGUCAGGAUAUGCCUAGGUGGGAUUAGCUAGUUGGUGAGGUAAGGGCUCACCAAGGCGACGAUCCCUAGCUGGUCUGAGAGGAUGAUCAGCCACACUGGAACUGAGACACGGUCCAGACUCCUACGGGAGGCAGCAGUGGGGAAUAUUGCACAAUGGGCGCAAGCCUGAUGCAGCCAUGCCGCGUGUGUGAAGAAGGCCUUCGGGUUGUAAAGCACUUUCAGUCGUGAGGAAGGUAGUGUAGUUAAUAGCUGCAUUAUUUGACGUUAGCGACAGAAGAAGCACCGGCUAACUCCGUGCCAGCAGCCGCGGUAAUACGGAGGGUGCGAGCGUUAAUCGGAAUUACUGGGCGUAAAGCGCAUGCAGGUGGUUUGUUAAGUCAGAUGUGAAAGCCCGGGGCUCAACCUCGGAAUAGCAUUUGAAACUGGCAGACUAGAGUACUGUAGAGGGGGGUAG